UCUUUUUUUAUCCUUCCUUUAAUCACAAAGUGACCAAAUAGAGUCAUACACAACAUGAAUUCACGACAUACCAAGAUUAAUUAAUUUCAUUUAUGGAAAUGAUUCAAGUUAGAAAAGGCACUCAAACACAUGAAAUACUUAUUAUCCUAUCAAAAUUAAAGCUGUGAACUUUAAUGUUUUUCUUUUCCCAUAAAACGAUUUAUGCUUGAUUUUCCAUGGUUGAAUUGUUUUAAUUUUUGUUCGAUACAUUUACAUACAAACUCAAUGAUUGUUAUAUAUUAUAACAACUGUAAAAGUGGAUUUUUUUUUGCAGAUUUUAGGAUUGAAGGGGCAGGAAAAGUACAACUAAAAAUUAAGAAAAGAUUUCCAUCUUCAAAGCCUAAUUCCCAAAAGUCAUAGUUGACGGUUGGGUCUAUGACUUGUUUUGCAUAAUUAUCUUGGCAGAAGCUGUUGACGGAGGGAGGGUCCAAGUAAUUUUUGUAGAAAAAGAAGUGGAUCUUGUCUCCCAGGUCCAGGUACAACAACUAUCAUCUAUUCAGAUUUCCAAGAGUUGGGUUUCAAUACACAAACAUAAUUGAGACAAACAAGAACAACAAGACAUGGAUGACAAAAAAAUAUCAAAAGGCGAUGGUAGGUCCUGCAUACUUGCAUAAGUGGAUGUAAUUGCAAUAUACUAUUUAUGCGGAGUUGGAACUCAGAUAUGGCCUCCUUAUGCAGUGGUAUCCAAAUCUUUGGGGCUCAACCUGCAGAGAAGGUCAUGGAUGAAUUAAAUUGAAGUAUAACAGUGCACAAAUAUGAAAGAGGAGAAAACAAUGUUCAUUUAACUUCAUUUUGUGGUUUAGAUCAGAUUAAUCCGAGUUGAAGAAGUCUUCAAAGGAUCUAAUUUCAUGGCACUUGUUAGUGUUUUGAGUGUCUUCAGUGAAAUUUGUCAAAAUUCUGAUCCAUUUAAAUCUAUGAAUAUAUAUAAGAGGUAUUUAAACUAUCUUCUAUCCUCUUUUCACUGCUACCUUCAUCGUAGAGAUAGAUUUCUCCGACCAUGGAGCAGAUUGGAGUCAUCCAAGGUUUUGAUAACUUGAGAAUCAUAAAAAUGCAAAACAAAAAAAUAUGUCUACAGUGAUAAUGAUACUAAUGCACAAUACGACAAGCAACAAGAGUAUUUCAGGUGAAGCACAUAUAAAUCUAAAAGUCAGUAAAGCAGUGUACUUUAAGGAAUGAUCUCUGGGAAAGUUAAUAAGAAUUACCUGGCCUAUGCAUUGGUAUUAGUUAAGGUUUCUGACUCAAUUUGCAGGAAAGGGUAAAACAUAGAAAUGGAGCUCAAGGUUCGUUUACAACA